rnacentral:rRNA from 1 species
GGGUCAUUAGGUUGGUCGUGCCACCGGUACGUACUGGUCUCACUGAUUCCUCCUUCCUGAAGAACCGUAAUGCCAUUAAUUUAGUGUUGCGGGGAAACAGGACUGUUACUUUGAAAAAAUUAGAGUGUUUAAAGCAAGCUAACGCUUGAAUACAUUAGCAUGGAAUAAUGAAAUAGGACGAUCGAUCCUAUUUUGUUGGUUUCUAGGAUUGACGUA